CCAAUAGCGUAUAUUAAAGUUGUUGCAGUUAAAAAGCUCGUAGUUGAAUUUCGGGAUUGGCGCAUCGGUCGUGCCUCACGGGGUAUGAACUGGUGCAGUCAAUUUCUCACCUUCUGGAGAACCGCGAUGUCCUUAAUUGGAUGCCGCGGGGAACCAGGACCUUUACUUUGAAAAAAUUAGAGUGUUUAAAGCAGGCAUUUUUGCUUGAAUACAUUAGCAUGGAAUAAUAAAAUAGGACGGCAUGGUUCUAUUUUGUUGGUUUCUAGGACCACCGUAAUGAUUAAUAGGGAUAGUUGGGGGCAUUAGUAUUCAAUUGUCAGAGGUGAAAUUCUUGGAUUUAUUGAAGACUAACUACUGCGAAAGCAUUUGCCAAGGAUGUUUUCAUUAAUCAAGAACGAAAGUUAGGGGAUCGAAGACGAUCGGAUACCGUCGUAGUCUUAACCAUAAACUAUGCCGACUAGGAAUCAGACGAUGUUAAUUUUUUAAUGACUCGUUUGGCACCUUACG
rnacentral:rRNA from 1 species